AGAGUUUGAUCCUGGCUCAGAACGAACGCUGGCGGCAUGCCUAACACAUGCAAGUCGAACGAAGCCUUCGGGCUUAGUGGCGCACGGGUGCGUAACGCGUGGGAAUCUGCCCUUGGGUUCGGAAUAACAGUUAGAAAUGACUGCUAAUACCGAAUGAUGUCUUCGGACCAAAGAUUUAUCGCCCAAGGAUGAGCCCGCGUCGGAUUAGCUAGUUGGUGAGGUAAAGGCUCACCAAGGCGACGAUCCGUAGCUGGUCUGAGAGGAUGAUCAGCCACACUGGGACUGAGACACGGCCCAGACUCCUACGGGAGGCAGCAGUGGAGAAUAUUGGACAAUGGGCGAAAGCCUGAUCCAGCAAUGCCGCGUGAGUGAUGAAGGCCUUAGGGUUGUAAAGCUCUUUUACCCGGGAUGAUAAUGACAGUACCGGGAGAAUAAGCCCCGGCUAACUCCGUG
rnacentral:rRNA from 1 species